CUCUGAGCGCUUCCCUGACCUUCAGCGUGUAAAGAGGCUCCGAAGCCCUCGCUCUUGCUGGACACACACAGAACUAACCCUGUUUAUUCAUCUUUUGCCGGACUCAGUCCACUCAAUCUUCCUGCUGAGGAGGACACUUAAGCUAAGACAUGAUGACAUCCCAAGGUAUAGAAUUACCAACACAAAAGCAGAUGGCUGUUCAGCUUCUGGAGCGUAGAGCACGCUAGAAGAGUGUAGGCUCGAGUGGACAUCUGGCUAAUUAUGACCUGUGUCUACCAGAGUUCUUACAGCUGACAUGUCUGAGCAAUGAACUUGUCUCACAACUUUGUAGAAAACUGUUUUACAGUAUAGCACGUAAGGUGAGCACCAGAAAACGUGUUUUUUGUGGACCGACUCUUCCUUCAAUCCAGCACGCCUCAUUGCGGAUUUCACUGGCUGUGUUAACAGUGAACACGAUUGCUCAUCAACAGAUGUGACCAAAAGCAAAAAUGUUUUAAAAGCUUUCCUUGUUUCCUUUUCAAAAAAAUUUCGUCCUCAAAUGAAAGUAAACUUUUGUUUUUAAACGUCUCAGUACCUUAGCAUUGUUCAAGUUGCCAAAGCUUAGGUAGGCAAAGUGCUUCUAAAACGCCACUUAAAAUAUUUAUACCUAUACCUGUAUGUGCACAUAUACAAAGGUGGGUGUAUAGAUGUACAUAUAUAUAUGUUUAUUGUCCUACAGGACGUCACUGGGUGAGCAAAAUCCAGAGGCCUUUACAAUGUCCACGUUUUAAAAACUACGCUUGUGUAAGAACAGGUAAUUCAGGAUAAAAACUUGAAUGCAAAGGCACCCCCUUUCUUCUGGGGUACUGGAGUACAUUGGUAGCAUCUCAAUGAAAAAAGGCAUUAAAUUUUCAGCUAUGAAAGACACCAUUUUCUUAGCACCAUUUCGUAGAACACCCAAACAAAUUCAGUGUUUUGCUGCUAUUCAUGUAUGCUUCCUGUAGCUAUUUUGAUAAAUAAAAGUUAAUAUUAAGAUUACAGUAAGGACUGCAUGUGAAAAACCAUAAUUCCAGUAUUUCAGUACAACAUAGAUUCAGCACCAGAUGGUAUUUUAAGAUUCCUGCCACUGUAAUACUACAGUACUUGAUUUGUGUUCCAUGAUUAUGCAAACUUGCUAUUAUUCAAAGUGGUCACAGAUGUGUAGACUUUGGGGGCGGGAUCACAUUUACAUAGCAUCUCGUCCACAACAGAACCAGUGUUUAACAACGCAAACCCUGGAGCACCUUCCUCCCUGGCCCGUGCUCGUUGCAUAGACAGCUUUGGUCUUUUUCCGGGGUGCCAGCUGCAGCCGGGCAGUGGGUCCCAGUGCAUCGGAGAGGCCCGGCUCGCUCCGCGGCGGAGGCGGAGGCGGAGGCGGAGGCGGCUCCCGGGAGCGCUGUGACCCAGCGGCCGGGCCGCCUCACAUGUACCUGUUGUAAGGCCCCGUGACCCGCGUGAAGGCAUAGGGCGCCGUGGUGACCGUGGAGUCGGUGGUGGCUGAGCUGGUCUUCUCGGCCAGAGACUUGACGAAGCGCAGGUCUUGGCCGGCUCUGCCAGCAUCCUGACCUUCCGCCGAAAGGAGGUCAGCACCUCGAUGGCGCCACUGCGCAUCUUCUCCUCCUGAGCCUCCGCACUCCCGAACUCGUCCACGUCGGAGAUUUUGUACAGGGGCAGCACGUGCAGCUGCUCAUCCUCGGGCACUACUCCGAAUUCUCGAUUGUCUUCCCUCCCCGCAGGCUUGUGCUGGGGCAGCGGCCGCCAUGCUGCUGUGCAACCCAAUAACUUACAAAUGCAGAUGGCGUCAAAAUGGUGCUGGGAGAGAUUCACAGUGCUGCCCUUUCUGUUGCUGUCUGAGUCUAUGCAGCCUGAAGUCUGACUUCAUAGACUUCCGCCCCCAGAGGAAGCCACGCUCCUACUAUAAAAAUGAAGGAGGCCAGCUCUGCUUUUCCUGCUUCAGAAAUGGGAGGGACAGAUUGGGGCUUCUUCUACAAAUGACCUUCCCAGGCCGUGGUGUCACCAUUGCCUGGUCUAGUUUUGUGCACAGAGAAGUAUCACCUCUUUCUUCACACCUGACUCCCAAAGCUCUGUUUAAGGAAUUCAUUGUGUUCAAGAUGCCUCGAAAGCCACCAGCGUGAAGAUGUGAAGAAUGAAAAACUGGAGACUGGGUUGAUACCGGUUAUACGCACCUAAUACUUUCUACUUCCCUCUGUUCUCCAUUAAACCUAACUCAGCGUUUCUCUUUGGUCUCAGGGCUUUUCUGAAAUUACCACCACAUACAACAAAACCCCGAAGCUGCCUUUUUUGCUUUGAUAAAUUAAUGACUUUUUUGGUAGUCACAGCAUCCUGGUUUUGAUGAAAGCUUGUUUAAUGGCAGUGUUUAGUAUUUAGGGUUUUUAAGGACAGGGUGGUGUAGAAUCACUGGAAGCCACCAGGGAAAGGGAGGUGACCCUUUGCCGGUGACUGGUGACUGUGAUAAGAACUGGGACCUGAGGCAGUGGGGACACUGUCACUUUUCCACAUUCCUGUUUCUAGGCACCUGGUUACUUUUUCCUCACAUACAGGUGAAUCCUUAUCCUACUCCUAUCCACUGCUGCCUUCCGUCCCACACAAUGAGGCUGUGGUUGGCCUCAGGCAAUUUCCUCAGUUCUGAACUCUGUCCUCCUCUUCCUGCUAGUGCAGGUCCCCUUCCCGGAAUCCAGGCCAGCUCCUAAUAUGAGCAGCUCUCGGGGUAGUCGGCGAUGCUUCCCGAAGUCAGGGUGGGCUCUCCGGGGUCUUCAAACAGGCCUGUGGCCAAUCUGCCUUGAGCCUCUGCUAGCAAUCAGAGUGGUUUCUGCAUUUUCAAGGGGCUAAAUUAAAUACCUAAUCUUUCCGUUUACAGUUUUCCAAGUUCUGAUGUAGGCCAUCACACUAACACUGUCUCUGCUUCUCAGCAAAACUUUACUCCUCAAAGCGCCUGGCUGUCAUUUACCACUCACCUGAGUUCACUGCCACCCUUUACUGCCUGGGAUUGAUUAGUCACCUUCAGUCCCCCCACACCUUCCUCAGCUCUGUCUACACCUGGGUUGGUGAUGCCUUGGGGAGAGUCAUGUAUCGAUGGAUUUCUCAGCAGGACUUUCUUUUGUUCUUUUUGAGACAAGGUCUCACUGUGUGGCCUGGGCUGGUCUGGAACUCAUAAGCCCCCCCCAAUGACCUUCCUGUCUCAGCCUCCUGAGUAGCUGGGACUAUCAACAUGUGGCACCAUGCCCAGCUCUGAGAUUUUUCCUCCUGUCUGCACCAUGGACAGCCUUGGGCAGUGGGGAGUAGGCACCUCUCUCUGACUUUAUCGAGUUCUUCUCCUUGAAGCUGCAACCUAAGCCCCCUUCCUCCGCACCCCGUGUGACCUUGAGUGGAGUGGGUCUGCUGCACCAUGGCCGGGCACCCCACACACAGUGACAGUGGCAGUGUGUCCAUCUGCGUCUGUUCCCGCAGCAAUGCACGCUGGCUUGGAAUGCUUUUCAGUUUGACUGCAGGUAACUCAUCGUGCAGACAGAGCACUGAAGGGGGAGCCAUUCCCGGUGGCUUAGACCCUGGCUUAGAUUCGCAACGAGAUGCCCCAGCCCUCCUGUACUUGUUGGUAUAGUUCCCAGCACUGUGAAGCCAGUUAGGAGGAGUGGGCCUUGCCCAGAAAGAGCUCCAGGUGACGGCAGCUCACCCCAGACUCACCAGUGUGCUGCCGUUGUGCAUGUUGUGCAGGUCCCGGUGGGCAUGGGCGCAGAAGUCCAAGCAGGCGGUGACCCCCGAGAAUGGGCGUCCCUCCUUCAGCCCCAGCCGGCAGUCGGGGGCUCUGUGUUCCAGCUCCACCUGAGAGACGGGGGUGGGUGUGAGGUGGGGAUGGGCCUCCCAGCUGACAGGAGCCCUCCGCAGUGCUUGGGCUGUGUCCAACUUUUAGGAAAAUUCUGGGCCUGACAUCCAGGAACACAAUGACCCAAAACAGCAGAUUCCUGAACCCAGGGAAGUCUGCAUUUCGUUACUGGGGUGUAACUGACAGCCUUCAGGGGGUUCUGUAUCCUGGGUCUACCCCGGGCUCACACAGCCGUCAAGUGCUCUGCCAACUGGCUGCAUUCGCAGCCCCCCGAUUAUUGUUCUUAAGCAGCAGGUGUGCUCUAGGUGAGCACUUUUCUCAUGCAUCCACGUCCAUGUCCACAGGCCCACUGCUGCACACAAAUCUAAUUUCCACUGGGCACCUGAGUUUCCCUCAUGCACCUUUGGAACUCAUGUCUCCCGCUCUGUCUCCACACAGCAGCAGAUUUGCUUUCUGCUGCCACAGAUUGCUUUGCACUUUAAACGGGUCCACUAGAACUGAAUUUUUAUAUAUCUGUGAAGUGCUAAGGUUGCUUCUUGGG
rnacentral:lncRNA from 1 species